rnacentral:rRNA from 1 species
GAUGAACGCUAGCUACAGGCUUAACACAUGCAAGUCGAGGGGAAACGACAUCGAAAGCUUGCUUUUGAUGGGCGUCGACCGGCGCACGGGUGAGUAACGCGUAUCCAACCUGCCCACCACUUGGGGAUAACCUUGCGAAAGUAAGACUAAUACCCAAUGAUAUCUCUAGAAGACAUCUGAAAGAGAUUAAAGAUUUAUCGGUGAUUGAUGGGGAUGCGUCUGAUUAGCUUGUUGGCGGGGUAACGGCCCACCAAGGCUACGAUCAGUAGGGGUUCUGAGAGGAAGGUCCCCCACGUUGGAACUGAGACACGGUCCAAACUCCUACGGGAGGCAGCAGUGAGGAAUAUUGGUCAAUGGGCGAGAGCCUGAACCAGCCAAGUAGCGUGCAGGAUGACGGCCCUAUGGGUUGUAAACUGCUUUUAUAGGGGAAUAAAGUGAGCCUCGUGAGGCUUUUUGCAUGUACCUUAUGAAUAAGGACCGGCUAAUUCCGUGCCAGCAGCCGCCGUAA